UCUUUAAUAGGUUUAUGGGGUACUUAGACGGUAAAUCAAGCCUCAAAAAGGGACUAGUUUGCUAGAGUUUUAUGUGAGGAAGUAUUAAGGUACUGGUGGUGUAGAGAUGAAAUUCGAUGAUACCUUGAAUGGCACAGGUAUAGGCGAAAGCAUCUUCUUAUGUAAUAACUGACGUUAAAAGACGAAGGCUUUGUGUCUCGAACAGGAUUAGAUACCCUAGUAGUCAAAGCAGACAAUGAUGAAUGUCAUAGAUUGGAUUUAAAUUUAUUUAAUCUAUAAAUGAAAGUGUAAGCAUUCCACCUUAAGAGUAAUUUGGCAACAUUGGAACUGAAAUCAUUAGACCGUUUCUGAGACCAGUAGUGAAGUAUGUUGUUUAAUUUGAUGAUCCGCAAAAAACCUUACCACAACAUGAAUAGAUAAUUUUUAUCAUACAAGCGUUGCACGGCUGUCUUUAGUUAAUGUCAUGAGACUUUGGUUAGUUCCAUUAAAUUAACG
rnacentral:rRNA from 1 species